rnacentral:misc_RNA from 1 species
GUUCUGUUUAAACAAAAUUGGGGUUUAGGAUUUUAAAUAGAAUGGCCUUGAAUUUUUCUCAUAGACCUCUGUUUCCUGGGCAUCUUCCUGAUGACAAUUUGGUUUCCCCAAUGAGGAUCGCGAAUGGUUACCUUGUGGAGGGUAUGCCGGACAAGGUUGAGAAUUGCUUUGAUUAUGGGAGGGAUAGGACCGAUAGGUGUGCCUCACAAGAAUCCGUGCAUAAGGACAUUCUUGAUCUUUUGCCAUCGGAUCCUUUUGGCAUGGACAUAAGCACUACGUUUACUGCGAUAACAGGUUGGCUUGAAGAUUUGGAGGUGGACUACGGUGUGUAUGGUAGGGAUCAGGUUGCCACGACGAGUGAUGGCAAUUAUCAGUUGUUUGCUGGGUUGAAUUUUAUUUGGAAUAAUGCAAUGAGGUUCCAAGCUUUUCCUGGUAAUAUGGGGUUUGAUAAUAGCUUGAAUGCAGUUGGUGGAUUUGGUGAUGGAUUUCUAGAGAAGGAAGUAUGGAAUGCAUCUGGCCAGGGUGCUUUUGAAUUGUCUUGUGAUGUGGAGGACAUUUUGAGUUUAGGGAAUGAAUUAAUUGGCAAUAAAGAUACUGGUGUUGUGGAUAAGAGAAGUGGAGAAUUUCAUGAGAUUAGUGGGGUUUGUUCUGAUGGAGAUGGAGGAGCUCCUCAUGCAGCCUUUGCUUUUGCUCUUGGUUAUCUUGGUGUGCGGGA